UGAACCGAUUUCACUUCUAAUUUUAUUACGUUUAUUCGGUUUUAGGUAUUAUGAUCACUGGGAGAGACGGGAAGUUGUCGGUUUCACCUGCUCGCGAAU